rnacentral:misc_RNA from 1 species
GUGAAUCAUCGAAUCUUUGAACGCAUAUUGCACUCUCUGGGAUUCCGGAGAGUAUGCCGGUUUGAGGGUCAGCCUAAAAAAAAUCGACGUAGUCUCUGUUUCGAGGUGACAUUCGUCGGAAAUUGGGUCAUCUUAAACCUUUGGGUUUUUUAAGCGGCUUAAAAUUUUCUUUACGAUUCCACGAACGUUUCUAAGAUUUUACUUCUUACACACGUUUAAUGUAUCGAUCUUGAUUAGACGUGGCCGUUGCAUAGGAUCGUGUCCAUAAAUAUUUCU